UACAGAGACCUCAAGCGUUAUCCGGAAUCAUUGGGCGUAAAGCGUGCGCAGGCGGUGAUGUAAGACAGAUGUGAAAUCCCCGGGCUCAACCUGGGAACUGCAUUUGUGACUGCAUCGCUGGAGUACGGCAGAGGGGGAUGGAAUUCCGCGUGUAGCAGUGAAAUGCGUAGAUAUGCGGAGGAACACCGAUGGCGAAGGCAAUCCCCUGGGCCUGUACUGACGCUGAGGCGCGAAAGCGUGGGGAGCAAACAGG
rnacentral:rRNA from 1 species